GACGAACGCUGGCGGCGUGCUUAACACAUGCAAGUCGAACGGAAAGGCCCUGCUUUUGUGGGGUGCUCGAGUGGCGAACGGGUGAGUAACACGUGAGUAACCUGCCCUUGUCUUUGGGAUAACUUCAGGAAACUGGGGCUAAUACCGGAUAGGAGCUCCUGCUGCAUGGCGGGGGUUGGAAAGUUUCGGCGGUUGGGGAUGGACUCGCGGCUUAUCAGCUUGUUGGUGGGGUAGUGGCUUACCAAGGCUUUGACGGGUAGCCGGCCUGAGAGGGUGACCGGCCACAUUGGGACUGAGAUACGGCCCAGACUCCUACGGGAGGCAGCAGUGGGGAAUAUUGCACAAUGGGCGGAAGCCUGAUGCAGCAACGCCGCGUGCGGGAUGACGGCCUUCGGGUUGUAAACCGCUUUCGCCUGUGACGAAGCGUGAGUGACGGUAAUGGGUAAAGAAGCACCGGCUAACUACGUG
rnacentral:rRNA from 1 species